rnacentral:lncRNA from 1 species
AGACGCGAGGGCAAAGGCCCAGGAGGACUGUGGGGCUCUCGGAAGUAUCCGAUCACCUUGCGAGGAGUCCGCCGGCUGUCCGAGCCUGAUGUCACUGCAACUUCGAUUCCUCCGACGCCCCUACUCUUACUUCCCAGUCUUCAGGCAACUUCUCCGCUUCGGCCUCCCCUAGGCCUUGGCCCCAGAGAGGGGACGCACUCCACAGGUGGAUUCGCACGUGUGGGCCCUCGGCAGCACUUUCUCGUGCAAAUUAACAGGUGGCCCUCAUUGUGGAAGCACCGCCCAGCCUUUCCCGGGGAGGUCACCAGGGCGAGGCCGCUCAAGGUCUGCAGGCGCCCGGCGUUAGCGGGAUCCUCCCCGCGCACUGGUCCGAGGAGGCCAGGAGAGGGCGAACCAGUCCCCGACCAGCGGCCCUUCCGGGGGUGGGCUCUGACCCCACCGAGCGGUUAGAGGGUCCAGGAGCUCCAAAGGGUAGGGCAGAAUUGGGUAGAUGAGGGUGCAUUUUUCUGGGAGGAGUCUAAGGCGUCGCUGACUCUCAAAGGCCCGCAUCCGGAGAAAGGGAAAGAGCCCCGUCCCGGGAGGAAGGACGAGAGGCUGGCCCGCGGGAAGGAGCCCUGGCAGUCCCUCCUGGCCUAGGUCUACCUCUUUGAUCUCACCGUCCCCGUGGCGGCGAGUGCCACCAAAGAUGAGAGAGGCCAGCAGGUAUCGGGAGAGAGCUGAGGGGUCGGCGCCGGCGGGACCCCAGAUUGGAGCCGCCGUCGUCGGACGGGCAGACCCUGCUGUAAUAGCUCCCGGCCGGCCACGGUAGGCAGGUGGGGCCCACCGCGAGUCCUAGUGAAAAACACCUUCCUCUUGAUUCUCUCAAAGGAACCCGAGCCCUGGGAAGGGACAUCAAGGCGCUCCCGAGACUCCGGAGACGGCCAACAGCCCCAAAAGAGAGUACUCGGCUAUCCAGCCGCCCUUAUCCAAGCGGAGAAUCUCUCUCCACCUCCGCCCUCCCGGGACUCAAAGUUGUUUGUGGAGCCUCCAGGUUUCCUUGUAGAUGGGCACGAUAUGCACUGUGUGCGCGCGCGCGCACACACACACACACACACACACACACACACACACACACGUAUAUGUAUUUUUCCAGUGGCCACUGCAGGAUUGCCAGCUUUCGGAAAUGAGCAUCCGCUCUCUCUCUCGGGACUGGGCGUGGGGUUCACCGAAAGGAGAGGAAGAGACCUUGCGUUUGCGCUGGGCCUGCUCGAUGCCAGGCCAUUCUAGGCUUCUGUCUAUCCUGGUUUCUGGUCUGUGCGUUGUGGGUAGCAGCAUUGGCGUAUUACGCCGGAGGGAGCAGGCUGAGCGAGGCUCCAGAAGGUGCGCAAUAGCCGGAGAGGAAAGGGCGAUGCUGUCACCUAGCCCCCUCCCUGAGACUCCAUUCAGCCCAGAAAAAGGAGCUGCUUUCUCCCCCAUCUACCCUAGGAGAAAAUAAACGGUCGCUGGCAUUUUCCUGCGUCUUUUAAUUUUGCCAGAACUGUUUUGGGUUGGCUAUUGUGGGCCAGGAUGGAGGCCUUCUCCUCCCGGGAGCAAACCUGCCCACGCCCAGGCCGGCAGUGGAGUCAGCCUUGCCCCAGCCUGCCCUCCAGGGAAACAAUGCCCCUUUGUCCCUCGCCCUCCCGGGGCUGAUACAGCCCCUCCCCUUAGCUUAGGGCUCCCUCCCGUUAGAGCAUUCCAAUGAUUGCCACAAGUCACACUUUUCUUUGAGGUCUCUGCCUGGGAAGAAAACAAAGCAGCCCUCCUAAUCACACGGAGGGAGUGGAACUUUUCCUGCCCUCUGACUAUGUGCCAGCCUUGGCUCCUCCCUGAAGCCCUGUCUAGAGGGCUUAUUAGGUCACUUAUGUUUUGUACCUCGUGUGAAGUCCCACAAUCAGUAGAUUAUAGAGGGGAGCACAAACCCAGCAGUGUCUGACAUAGAGAAAUUACACAUACAUACAUACACACAUACAUACAUACAUACACACACACACAUACACACAUACAUAUACAUACAUACAUACAUACAUACACACACAUACAUACACACAUACAUACACACAUACACAUACAUACAUACAUACAUAUAUACAUACAUAUAUAUAGUCUUUCCACCACCCAGGAUUGAAAAUUAAUGCUGUUUUUGACAUUGUCCGUUAUCCACCCAAACCCUCCAAAAAGGCUGGCUGGCAUUUGCUUGGCUCUAGUUCUACCUGCCCACCUUCUCCUUUGCCUAAUCCUGAGUUUUCCCCUUCCCCACGUGUGUUCCCCUUGAGCACUUUUUUGCUAACUUCCUGCAUGCUACUGUCAUCUCAGAGACUGAUUCCUGGGGAGCCCAACCUGUAACAUGGAGCUCAGUGGAAAGCACAUGGAAUGUGGACUGAGACAUGACUGUGUUCAAACCCUGGCUCUGUCGCUAAGUGGUUACUUGGUUUGGGGCAAGGCAUUUAAUCCCUCUAAAGUUCACUUUCAUCUGGGGGGAAAAGAUAACUGUGAGGAUUAAGUGAGUUUAUAUAUAGUGUAUGAGUGCCUGGACCACUGAAGCAGUGCAGCAGAUGUUAGCUCCUCCUUCAGUAAUAUUUAUUGAACAUGGCAUCCCAAGUGUUACUAGAAUUUAUAUUUCUACUUUAUAAAUUUUACUAGAAUUUAUGUUUUCAUAUUCUUGAUACUAAUACUGCAUUUUUGAAAGGGGUGACUCCUUCCUUAUUAAAGUUUUAGAACACUAUCCUAAGUGAAGUACAAUGGUUACUAAAUUAGAUGACAUCUGGAUCUGGCUGAUCUUGAACAAGCAGGUUAAUCAUAUAACUUAGCUAGGUCAUUGUGAAAUUUUCUCCUGUGUAGAAAGAGAUAUUAAUAGUAACUACUGUGGCAGAUGGCAUUUUCCAUAAAUGCCUACAAAAUACUUUCCAUCUCAGCUGCUCUUCAGAAAUGACCUUGCCAUUCCUCCAUCAACAGAUGAAAUCUAAUUCCCCUUCUUUUGCAUCUGGGCUGGCCUCAGGGACUUACUUGGGCAUUGGAAUGUGGCAAAAGUGAUGGUCUGGGACUUCCAAGGCUAGUUCAUACAAGCUAAGUCAUUCUGUGUGAGUCUUUUGGGAUGUUCCCUCUUCCAACCCAGCCACCAUACUGUGAGAAGCCUGAACACUUGGAAAGCCAUGUGUAGGUGCUCUGGCUAACAGUCCCAGCCAACAGCAAGCAUCAACUGCCCACCGAGUGAGCUCUCCUGACAUCCAGCACCUUUGGGCCUUCUGAAGACUGCAGCACCAGCCCACAUCUGGGACCCCAAAAAGAAUGGGAAUAAACUGAGCCCAGUUAGUAUACAAACCAAGACAGAUAAUAAUAAAUGGUUGUUUUAAGCCAUUAAGUUAUGGAGUGGUUUGUUAUGCAGCAAUAGAAACUAAAUCACUAGCUCCUAGGGUUAUGUGAAAUCAAGGAAGACAAUGCAUGCAAACUGAUUACUAAUGUGCUUCGUAAAUAAUUAAUACGGUUGCAGAAAAAAGUAAGCUGAUUAUAUGGGGAGAUAAAACAUGGGCACAAAUAACUGCAAAACUAAGCAGGCAUCAUCUGAAUCAAUAUUUAGUGGGCACCUAUCCCAUGCCAGACUGUCUACAUAAUCAUAGAAUCUCCAAGUAGAACAGAAUUUGGGAGCUAUUCUAGUUCAACCUCCCACUUAGUGAGGACAUUUCUUCUUGAAUGCUUGUUUAAUACAACUAUUAUUUAUUAAGCCUCGCUCCGCACCAGAAAGUGUGGUAGAUGGUAAUGUCAGGAAGUGGGAUAGAAAGAUAACUAAGACACAGCCCAGGGCCAGAGGCAAACACAUGAAGAGUUUCUGCUCAGUGUCAUAUGUGCAGGGAGAGAGGAUACGAAGAAGACAGAUGCAUUUCCCCUGCAUGGAAUGGGGUGAGUCAUCUCACUAUCGGCCAGCUCUGCUGAUUCAGCUUCCUGGUGCUCUGGAUUCUGCUGAUAUAUUUUCUGUGCAUCAACUUGUAUUCUGAGUGGCAGUUCUCCAGCUCUUUGCCUUCUUGCUCCAUAUACCUAAGUUGGCUGUUUACACAUCCACUUACCCAUCUUUGCUCAAAGCUGACCCUUGUCAAGGAAGGAGGGGUUUGCCUGGAUCUUGAACACCAGCCUGUGGGCUCUUUAAGGCCAAUGCCUGGAUCUUGUUCAUCAUUGAGGCCCCAGCUCCUAGAGGCACCAAAAUAAAACAAAACAAAAGAGAGAGAGAGAAGAAGAAGAAAACAGCCACCAAAAAAAUGCAUUUCUUUUUGUGUGGGUUCAGAAAAAUGCCAGAGAUUCAUUUAAUUCAAAUUUAUUUCACACAACUACAUCAGGGAAAAUUAGCAGUGUAAUCUGCUUUCUCAAGUUUCAUGAGCAACGCUAAGUUUUUAAUAGGCUGAGUGUUUAAUAGGCAAGUAAAAUCAGCCAACAAACAAACAAACAAAAAAACGCUGGAGUUCGAGUCCUUUACAGCCAAGUAGUUGGCAGCUGCUACGGUUAUUAGCUAUCAUAGUUUCCCACAUGCAGCCAUGUUUUAUGGCUUCUUAAAAUUGUUUUUAAAAAUGUUUCACAAACCAUGGGUUUCACACAAAUAUAAGGGUUAGAAUUUCAAUUUUAAAAAAUAAACAUAAGUUUGGUGUCACAUCAGAGAAAGCUCUAGUUUUCUCCUUUUAAGAAACAGAGGAGGUAACUCACCAGAGCAGAGGAGUCAUCUGAAUUGGGCCCUUUAUUCUCAGCCUAACCUGCUGAGGAGCGUCAUCUACAACUCACAAGGUACUGGGAGCAGGAGAAUUUGCAUGGAUAGACAAAAGUUUGCUUCAUUGCUCAGUUUCCCUUUAAUCAUUUCUCCUCUUUAUUCUCCUCUUUCUUAUUUGAAACUUAUUCCUUGUUUGUAUUAAUGUUUCUCUGCAGGGCUGUAACUGUAGUUUAUUACAAAACAGUAGAGUACAGGGCUCUUUCAUUUAGCAGCUUAGUAUAGUUUUUGUUGCAACAGUGUAUUCAUAUCAUGGGGUGGGGGGUAGAAUCUAUUUAAUCAACUCUGGGGACAGUACAGGCCCCUAUACAAAAUCACCAAAACUUCCCUAUGGAGAAAAAGAUGGGAAAUUAGAAGAAAAAAUAAAGCUUGAGGGGGAAAAGGGUAGAGCUUUUCAUUUGGAAAAAGAGGAGGAAUGGGGAGUUGAGAAUCAGUGUGUACUCUUGGGUCACUGGGUGCAACCUAAGAGGCUGGGGUGAAUCCAGAAGCUGCUGGACCCCUGGGACCUGGGGGCAAAUUGCAAUGGUUGGUGGGUGAACUUCUGGGCCUGGAUAUGAAAAUCAGCAAUGAAAGGCAAACACUAGAAAUUGGUAGUAGACCCCGGAAGUUGGUGGUGGAUUCCUGGUGCCAGGAUUAGAACCAGAGAGCUGCAGACACAACAGAGUAAGAGUAGCUCAGGGCUCUGAGGGUGUAGGACCACAUGUGAGGGUGGCGGCAAAAAUGUAAGGCAGUGAUGGCCAAGGAGGAAAACUAUUUCUCAGUAGGAGUGGAGCCUCUUCAUGCCAGGAGGUCUGGUGGUGGUGCCACCCUCUUGAAGUGGAAGUGGAGAGAAACUGUUCCAGUGUGUUUGAAACUUGCCUGGUCAGCUUCUCUGCUCAACACCCUGAAGGUGAUGGUCUUGUGAGACUCAUUGCAUGUCAACGGUACUUUUGGCACCUGUCCAGGAACUUUUAAUACUGUCUCUAAGCAGAAAUGAAGCAAUGGCAGGGCAUGAUGCCCCUGUCAACCUCUAAACAGUCAAUCUGGAAGAGGAGGAGGCUCUGCCAUUCGCCUCCAAAUUUCUCUGCUUAGUCAUUUUAUAGCCCAAAGAGAUUCUUCUUCAUCUCCAUCUUGUCCGGCAUUGGCUGGGAUGUAUUCCUUUUGGCUUAUCUUUGACCAAUUUUGUUUGCUUUUUUCCUUGAGUAUGUGUUACGUAACUCACCUUCUUGCUAUAAACUUGCAUUUUUUGAACCCAAGUUAUUGCUCAUAAAAUGUGGGAUCUUGUUGAUGUCAGUGGUCUUUACAGCCAACUGCCAGAGAUGCUGUCUGAGCUGCUGAUUGCUGUCUAAGGAAGAGAACACUCCCCAGUUCUGGUCUUGCCUCUACCCGCUUAUUAAUGCUAGAAGUACAAAUUAAG